CCACCGUCAUCAUGUCUGACCAGGAGGCAAAACCUUCAACUGAGGACUUGGGGGAUAAGAAGGAAGGUGAAUAUAUUAAACUCAAAGUCAUUGGACAGCAGUGAGAUUCACUUCAAAGUGAAAAUGACAACACAUCUCAAGAAACUCAAAGAAUCAUACUGUCAAAGACAGGGUGUUCCAAUGAAUUCACUCAGGUUUCUCUUUGAGGGUCAGAGAAUUGCUGAUAAUCAUACUCCAAAAGAACUGGGAAUGGAGGAAGAAGAUGUGAUUGAAGUUUAUCAGGAACAAACGGGGGGUCAUUCAACAGUUUAGAUAUUCUUUUUAUUUUUUUUCUUUUCCCUCAAUCCUUUUUUAUUUUUAAAAAUAGUUCUUUUGUAAUGUGGUGUUCAAAACGGAAUUGAAAACUGGCACCCCAUCUCUUUGAAACAUCUGGUAAUUUGAAUUCUAGUGCUCAUUAUUCAUUAUUGUUUGUUUUCAUUGUGCUGAUUUUUGGUGAUCAAGCCUCAGUCCCCUUCAUAUUACCCUCUCCUUUUU
rnacentral:lncRNA from 1 species